rnacentral:rRNA from 1 species
UGACAUGUACCGGAUCGGGCUAGAGAUAGUCUUUCCCUUGUGGUCGGUAUACAGGUGGUGCAUGGUUGUCGUCAGCUCGUGUCGUGAGAUGUUGGGUUAAGUCCCGCAACGAGCGCAACCCUUGUCUUAUGUUGCCAGCACGUUAUGGUGGGAACUCAUGAGAGACUGCCGGGGUUAACUCGGAGGAAGGUGGGGAUGACGUCAAAUCAUCAUGCCCCUUAUGUCCAGGGCUUCACACAUGCUACAAUGGUCGAUACAAUGGGCAGCGACAUCGUGAGGUGAAGCGAAUCCCUGAAAGUCGGCCUUAGUUCGGAUUGGGGUCUGCAACUCGACCCCAUGAAGUCGGAGUCGCUAGUAAUCGCAGAUCAGCAACGCUGCGGUGAUACGUUCGCGGGCUUUGUACACACCGCCCUU